rnacentral:rRNA from 1 species
UGGGGAAUAUUGGACAAUGGGCGAAAGCCUGACCCAGCCAUGCCGCGUGCAGGAUGAAGGCGUUAUGCGUUGUAAACUGCUUUUUAUAUAGGAAGAAAUAGUCCUUGCGAGGAAAGUUGACGGUACUAUAUGAAUAAGCACCGGCUAACUCCGUGCCAGCAGCCGCGGUAAUACGUAGGGACCAAGCGUUGUUCGGAUUUACUGGGCGUAAAGGGCGCGUAGGCGGCAAUUCAAGUCAUCUGUGAAAUCUCCGGGCUUAACUCGGAACGGUCAGAUGAUACUGCUUUGCUAGAGUGCAGAAGGGGCAAUCGGAAUUCUUGGUGUAGCGGUGAAAUGCGUAGAUAUCAAGAGGAACACCUGAGGUGAAGACGGGUUGCUGGGCCGACACUGACGCUGAGGCGCGAAAGCCAGGGGAGCAAACGGGAUUAGAUACCCACGUAGUCCCUGAGCGGGCUGGCAAGGCGCAU